UUAAAAUAAAAAUAAAAAUAAAAUUUAUAGUUGGUUUAUUAUUAAUUUAAAUGAUCAAAUAUGUCAUAUUAACUAAUUCUUUAAGUGGUCCUACUAUGACAUGUUAAUUGUAGAUAAAAACAUGACCCUAAAUUAAUAGAUUAGAUGAUUAGAAAUGUCAUGAUGGAAUAACUAGUGUCAAUCUGAUCCUAAUAAAUUGAUCUUAAUAUCUAAUCUAUUACAGUAUAGUCAUAUUUUUAUCUACUGUUAAAAGGUUGUCACUUAAUUUUUAAAUGGUCCUACUAAAAUUAACUUAUCUUAUAUAUCAUAACAAUAAUAAAGCAAUACAAUUUAUCUAACUAUUAAAUUCAUAAAAUCUAGGAUGUGGUAACUACCUUUUGAAGAAAAAAUCAAACAUUUGGCCAUGUUUUAAAUGAAGGAUCUUUAUAUAAGAAUACUAUAAAAAUCUAGAAUAUCUAUAUUGUUAUAUAUGAAAAACUAUUUUUCACGAGAACAGUAAAUUGUUUAUAUUUGUUGUUAUUACAACUUUGCUCAAGAAAUGUGGUCCAUUAUUUUAGUAGUAACAUUACGCUGUUUUGAAAUUUUGGAUUAAUUUUUAGGUUUGUAAAUAUAAAUAUAAUAUCUGAUGUAAUUAACAUUGAUGAACAUUGCUUAAAACUAAUAAAUUAUAGGAAAUAAAUGAAGCAGAAAUUGCAUAAACACAGAACAUAUUUAUAGCAGUAAUUGACAUUGAUGAAGUAGCUUAAAACUAAUAAUACCGAUCCAAUCAAAUUAGUCAGUUAUAUACUAUAUUAUAUCCAGGGAAAAAUUGAAAAUUAUACGUGUAAAAAUUACUAAUCCAAAAUUAACACCAAAGUACAAUACCAUAAGACAUUUACGAAAAUAUCGAUUAAGAUACAUUAUUUUUCAAACAGCAUGUAACACGAAACUUAAACUACAAGUUUAAAAAUUUUAUAAAAUAAAUUAUCUUUUAACUAUAAUAAAUGAAAAAUUUCCGCGCGCGCUUAGCACUGAUUCAUAUCUAGUUAGUACUAAAAUACAAGCUCAACAUUGUAGGUAGACCAGUCAUGCUAGCCAGCUCAUUGUUAAUCACAAAAUCAAAAAAGACAAAUUAACAAGUUUAACAGGUUUUAGGAGACCUGUUCUAGUUAUGACAUAUUCUAGUCCUAUCCAAGGAUCACUAUUGAUUUAUUAUAUAUUUUUCAAAAUAUUAAAACGUGAUCAUGUACGGACAAGGCUAAAUUGAUAUACAGUCUUUUGGUCCAAAGUCCAAACACAGUAAUUGAUUGUUAUUGAUUUGUGUUUUGAGAUGGAACACAUGCUACCAAAGGUGUUUUGUAACAAACUAGAAAGUGAUGUUCUCAUCUUCACCCUAUUUGGGUCGAGCUUUCAAGUAAGUAACUUAAGCGUGUGAAUGUCAAAAAGUAGAGGAAGAGCAAAGGGUUUUAGGCAAAUAUGAUGUGAUACUCUCAACAACUUUGUUUAUACCUAACCCUUAGAGAGAAGCACGCAUAAAUUAUGAAUAAUUAGAGAAAAAAAUACAUGAAGAUAAUUUACAUGCAUAAUGAAGGGUUCUAAGUGAUCAUUACAAUGUUCUUUUUAUUUACAUAUAAGACAUGGAAUAAAUAAAUUAGAUAUGGGAUAUAACGAGAAAAGAUAGACAAAACGGACAGAAAGGCAAAGACUCGACACCUUGGGUUCAAUGAAGUGUGAGGCCAACCCUAAGAACGAGCCUCAGUGGCGUGAACCCCUUUUAAACCUUGACGACAUAAUAAAACUUAUAAGUAUGUUUUUUUUUAAUAUAGUUUAUUUUUACUUUUUUUUUGGAACUCUCGCAGGGGUGGGCAAAAUCCGAACCGAAGUAAAACAACCCCAAAACUAAAGUAUAUGUUCCAAAACCCAUUCUAUUAAAACUUCAAUAAGGUUUUCUUUAGGUUACUAGUUGUUCAACUACAAGUCUUUAAUUUCUCCAAAAGUUUUUUGAUAUUUAAUCAAAAGUAUUUCUGGAUUUGGUAAAAUGAAUAUGAAAGUCGCUAACAAAAAAAAAAAGAAUAUGAAAGUUUGAGACUUUAUGAUUGGCAGGUUAGUAAAUUUUUGGAUUUUUGAUUGUUCAUAGCUUAUACAGUCACAAGGAGGUCUUUCUCAGGGAACUUGUAAGGAGGUGGUGGUGAGCUUGAGAUUUGGAUCAAGCCUGAUCCUGACAAUGGAACCAUCUGUAGAAGCCGGAAACCGAGUUGAAAUAACAGUAAUAAAUAAAGCGAUAUUAAGGAAAGAAACGAUUGUAAAACUCCGAUAGAAAACGAGAAAAAACGUUUACAGAAACAGACAUGGAGUCGAGAUACGAUCUCUUUCCUUAACUCUAAAUAUUUGCUCUGUAGUGAGACGGAACUGUACGAAUAUAGAGUCUCAGUAUACAACCAUGGUAGACGAUUCACCCUUCACUCGUAAAUGCCCUAACGAACUAUAAACUCUACGAAACAUUCUCGAACUAUUAACUUGCGCUAAGGAAUUUUCUCAGUUGGUUUUCAAAGUAAAAGUAAUAAAAAUCAAUGAAGAGAGUCGGGUUUAUUUAAAGAGAAGAAGAAGACCUACUUCUUGCAACAGCUGAUGUACGUGUGUGCGAGAAUCUCGCGGAGAUUGAAAGGAGUUGAGUUGCGAAACUUAUUCCGCAAGACGCUCUCUUCUCGUUUAAAAAAUAUUUUGGGCGAACAGAAAAAAUGUGUUUCCUUUUGAAACGAACUACACGUCGUUUAGAACGAAUUGGGGGAUGUUUUUUUAUUCGAUAAUGGGUGAAAAACCAAAAUUAAUUUGGUACCAAAAAAUAAUUAUUGGGAGAGACCCUUCAACAAGACCAAGCUGAGUAACAGCGGCAGCCGAGCCGGUCACCUUCCGUUUAGAACGAAUUGGGGGAUGUUUUUUUAUUCGAAAAUGGGUGAAAAACCAAAAUUAAUUUGGUACCAAAAAAUAAUUAUUGGGAGAGACCCUUCAACAAGACCAAGCUGAGUAACACGGCGGCAGCCGAGCCGGUCACAUUCCGGGAAGACUUUGGAAGUGAUAUGUCUUAAGACAUAUUUAUACUACUCAGCAACAUUCAACUUACCCGAUGUGGGACAAAGUUGAGCUUAUAUCACUUGUCCAUUUUGACAGUGUUUCACAUUCCGAGUUCAUCACUUCAUCACAUUAUUGCUCAUUACAUUUAGCUUUGUUUUUGACAUAUGAAUAUACUGACUUGUAGUGCUCGUUACAAGCUUUCCAACGAGCUAAUAAUCUGGUCAUGGCGACCACUGGUUUGGCCGAAAAAGCCACUGUAAAAGUAAAACAAAGUCAGCCUUUAUAUUCUGUUAUAAAACAGAGUUCCAACACCAUCACCAUUACGCGUGAAAGAGCUCUAAUUUUUUUAAAAAAGUUUUUGUUUGAGUAUUAACAAUUGGGGUAAAGAAAUGAUUAUUGUAUUCGACUUUGCAGUGAUACUUGUAAUUUCCCUUGCGUGUGUGUGUGGUACUAAUGGUCUUUGUUUUAGAAUCUGAUUUAUGUGUGUGUGUUUGUGUAUGUUUAGCUUUGGAUAUGCGGAGGUUCUUGAGUGUAACAGAGACUCAAUCCAGAUUCUUGAAGGCUCUCAAGGAAAACGAGGAUCUUGGUGCUGGCAACGGUGGUUUGGGGUUGGCUUUUACUCUGCUUACUUAGACGACUGGGAACAGAGAAAGAGACUCGUUUGUUCCUGUUUGAGUUUUUCAACAUACAAACUUAAAAUCAGAUUUUUGUUCAUAUUUGCCAUUUGUUUCCAUUUUUGAAAUGGUUGCUUCUAAAGAACAAAAACC